UUGAAGUAGUUGCAUAAAAUAUUAUUGAGUUUUUGACAGUACUAAUACUACACUCUUGUAUCUGCCAACCGUUUUCACGACGACGACGACGACCACCACCACCACCACCACCACCACCACCACCACCACCACCACCACCACCAUCUUCCACUUUGUGUUGAAUACUUUCAGGUUAUGGUGGACCCUGAUGAUCCCACGAUCCCAGCCCAAGUGAACCAAAACCUAAGGGAGUUGCGUUGGCUCAUGAGGACAAAUAUUAAUGAAUUUUAUCCUGCAGACACCAUAAAUAUAUGGAAGCUGAUGCAUGGUUCUCUGGAUUGGAUAUUGUGUUUGGUUUAUAAUUGAUUGGAUGUGACCAGAAAUUUUGAAUGGGAGAAUUAGAAUUACGUACUUAAAAUUUGGAAAAAAUUAUAAAUCAACUGUUAUAUAUGUAAUAUUUUUUACAAUAAUAGUCUUGUUAUAUUUAUUGAGGGAAAAAUAAUUCAAAAACCGAGAAAAAUGUGAUUCCAAUUUUAAAAAGAUAUAUUACCUUGAUGAAAGAUUAAUAUAGCAAAAAGUAUCAUUUCAGCUAAACAAAAUCUUGCAAGUUUUAUACAUGAAGAAAGAAAAUUGGAUAGAAGGGACAGAAAAUUUGUUGAGUAAGACAACCCUAGAGAAAUGUUAGUUUACUAAUUCCCUCUUUUUUGUUUUGUCGGAUGGAAGAGAAAGAAAUAAGGUAACACCUUACUUAAUUUGUUAGAAAAGAAGGGAAGAGAGAUUACUAAUACUGAGUUUAUCUAAUAAUUAAGAAGAAUAUUUAAUUCAAAUUUACCAUUCAAAAAAAAUUUAUUUAAUUCAAAUUUUCUAUAGUACGUACAGUCUAUUUUUAUUCCUUUCUCUCUUCCAUCCACAUUUGGAGGGAUGGAAAUUAAUUUGUGAAGCAGGAAGAAUAACUCAUCCAUCCUCUUUUUCUAUUCCCUCCUUAUCUCUUCUCUACUAAACGAAGGAAGUUUAUUUCUUUCAUCCAAUCUUCCCUUCACCCUUCUUCAUUCCCUACUGCCAAACGGAUCAUUAAUAAAACAUUACUAUUAGGAACAAAUUAGAGAACUACUUUAAUAACUUAUAGAAGGCAUAGUUAUAGAAUUUCUCAUUUAACAAGUGACAGCUAAAAAUGUUAGCAUAUAUGAUAUUAUUGUUGUUAUAUAUUGUCAUUUUUGUCAUCUCUGCAUCAUAACAUACACUUUAGUUUUUCCCUUCUUUCUAAAGCUCCAAAGACUUGCAGAUGAAGAUUAAUAGUAUAUAAUUUAAUUUAAUUUAUUAUUAUUAUUUGUGUGUGUGUGUGUGUGUGUGUAAACGCCAUUAAUAAAAAUGCCUGAGAAAGAA